GGGUUGUGAGGUUAAGCGACCAAGCGUACACGGUGGAUGCCCUGGCAGUCAGAGGCGAUGAAGGACGUGCUAAUCUGCGAAAAGCGCCGGUAAGGUGAUAUGAACCGUUAUAGCCGGCGAUGUCCGAAUGGGGAAACCCAGUGUGACUCGUCACACUAUCAUUACGUGAAUCCAUAGCGUAAUGAGGCGAACCGGGGGAACUGAAACAUCUAAGUACCCCGAGGAAAAGAAAUCAACCGAGAUUCCCCCAGUAGCGGCGAGCGAACGGGGAGGA
rnacentral:rRNA from 1 species